rnacentral:lncRNA from 1 species
AGCUAAGACCGUGAGCAGAACAGACCAGAAAGGAGGAGAGACUGGGCCCGUCUCAGUCACAUCGUCCAUGACCACUAACCCUGCUGGACUUAGCUGCCUCUAAGACCUUCCAUUCCGGGGCCUUAGAUCCAAAGACCCACCCUACUGACAUCUCACUGGGACCACAGAUGAUGAUGGAUCCAAGAAACGAGCAUCUCUCAACCCUGAAAGCCAAGUUCAAAUUCGUCAAAAGAAAAGCCCUGAGGGUCUUUAAGUUCUAUUUUUCUAUUUUGGAAAUUCUUCCCUGGUACUGAAUUAAGCUCUAAGGUGCUCACGCAUGUUGGAGUAGGUGCUCACCCGCAGCUGGGGGUGACUUUGGGAGAAUCAGGGACUCACAGACCUCAUCGCUUUCUGGGGAGUCUGCACCUGCCUCCUCUGCUGACACGCAAGAUGUGGUUGCUGGUGAGUCUGCUUCCUCUAAGGGCUUUGACUGUGUCUCUGGUAAAGGCAUGUCCAGAUGAGGCCACUGCCUGAAGUACGUUUAGAAAAUUAUCCCCAAGCCCUUCUCUGAAUAAAUAUACUACUGAUGCACA